rnacentral:rRNA from 1 species
CAGUCGCCGCGGGAAUACGUAGGUGGCGAGCGUUGUCCGGAAUCAUUGGGCGUAAAGGGAGCGCAGGCGGGCAUGUAAGUCUUUCUUAAAAGUGCGGGGCUCAACCCCGUGAUGGGAAAGAAACUACAUGUCUUGAGUACAGGAGAGGAAAGCGGAAUUCCCAGUGUAGCGGUGAAAUGCGUAGAUAUUGGGAGGAACACCAGUGGCGAAGGCGGCUUUCUGGACUGCAACUGACGCUGAGGCUCGAAAGCCAGGGGAGCGAACGGGAUUAGAUACCCCCGUAGUCCCUGUCUCUUAUACA